GAUGAACGCUGGCGGCGUGCUUAACACAUGCAAGUCGAGCGAUGAAGCUUCCUGCUUGCAGGAAGUGGAUUAGUGGCGAACGGGUGAGUAUCACGUGAGCAACCUGCCCUUGACUCUGGGAUAAGCCUGGGAAACUGGGUCUAAUACCGGAUAUAACCUCUUACCGCAUGGUGAGUGGUGGAAAGCUUUUGCGGUCUUGGAUGGGCUCGCGGCCUAUCAGCUUGACGGUGAGGUAGUGGCUCACCGUGGCGAUGACGGGUAGCCGGCCUGAGAGGGUGACCGGCCACACUGGGACUGAGACACGGCCCAGACUCCUACGGGAGGCAGCAGUGGGGAAUAUUGCACAAUGGGCGAAAGCCUGAUGCAGCGACGCCGCGUGCGGGAUGACGGCCUUCGGGUUGUAAACCGUUUUCAGCAGGGAAGAAGCGCAAGUGACGGUACCUGCAGAAGAAGCGCCGGCUAACUACGUGCCAGCAGCCGCGGUAAUACGUAGGGCGCGAGCGUUAUCCGGAAUUAUUGGGCGUAAAGAGCUCGUAGGCGGUUUGCCGCGUCUGCUGUGAAAGCCCGGGGCUUAACCCCGGGUGUGCAGUGGGUACGGGCAGACUAGAGUGCAGUAGGGGAGACUGGAAUUCCUGGUGUAGCGGUGAAAUGCGCAGAUAUCAGGAGGAACACCGAUGGCGAAGGCAGGUCUCUGGGCUGUUACUGACGCUGAGGAGCGAAAGCAUGGGGAGCGAACA
rnacentral:rRNA from 1 species